AUCCCAUUUGGGGUUUCUUGGCAAAGACAUUGGAAUGGGUUACCAUUUCCCUCUCCAACUGAUUUUAUAGAUGAGGAAACUGAGGUAAACUGGGUUGUGACUUGCCCAGGGUCACACAGCUAGUGAGUGUCUGAAGCCAGAUGUGGACUCAGGAAGAUGAGUCUUCUUGACUCCAGGCCCAGCGUUCUACCCAGUGUGCCGCCUGACUGCCUCUGACAGAGACAGUACAGCAUUGAGAUCAGGACAACCUCAGUUCAACUCCUGUUUCUGACCUGUAUUUAUUGUGUAACCUUGGAUAAAUCACAUCUCCUCACUCCUCAUCACCCAAGACAAUUCCUUAAGACUAAAUAGUGCAAAGAAAAGAUCUAUCAGCACUGGGAGAAGAAAUACCUUACUAAGAUUACCCUACACAGAAGAAAUCAUGAUCAAGUUUUGUGGUGUUUUUUUUUUUUUAAUAAAUGUUUAAAGAAACAAAAAUAGAAAGUAUGAAAUCAGGAUAGUAUCUAUUAAUGUGUUGGGGAUUUUUAAUUAUUUAGUUCUUUUCAGCAGGAAUCCACAUAUUCAAAUGCCCUCAAGAUAUUUGAUCAAGAAAGAAAGAGAUAGGUUCCUAUUAUUGAUUUAGUAAACAAGAACAUUUACCAUAAUAUAACACUAUCUUUCAUCUUCAAAAUAUAUUGCUCAUGCAAAAUAAUCUUUUCAACAUCCUUUGAGUUUAGAGAGUAGGGAUUAUUAUCUCUCCAUUUGCAGAUAGGGAAGCUUAGGGAGGCUACUCAGUUGACUAAAGAAAAUAAAGGGAGUUAGUGUCAGAAUCAGCGUUUGAAUCUUAGUCAAAGUUCCGGUUUCCAAGUGUAAAGCAAGCUCUGGUCUUUAGUUUUCUUGAGCCACAUUAUUUGAGCUUGGUUCAUAAUAUUCCUCCGUGAUGAAGAGUCUCUGAAUGAUUCUGCUGACUGGUUUCACUUCAAAGCUCAGCAUCAUCUAUUUCUGUUCCCAUCUUGUAGCUAGGAUAGUUUUAACUAUACACUAAAGAAGGAGGAGAAAAAGGGAACUGGAAAGUAGAAGAGUCUGCUUUUAGGGGAAACUCUUUAGUAGGGACAAAUUAUGAAAUUUUAUACACUUAGACUUCCUUCAAUUCCCCAAUAUAAAGUAAGUAAAACUGAGCAAUGGCAGAAUGAUCACAGCUUAUCUUCUGCGUAAGAAAAUACAGGAUUUCUCAUCCUUUUUAGUCAGGGCAUCUGGAUCCAGGAAAAUUUAGUUCAAAUGCAGCCUCCCAUACUAGUUGUAUGAUCCUGAACAAGUCACUUAACCUUGUUUGCCUGAGUUUCCAUAUCUGUAAAAUGAGCUGAAGAACAAAAUAGCAAACUUUUCUUGUAUCUCUGCCAAGAAAACCCCGAUGGGUUCACAGAGAGUCAGACAUGAAUCGAAAAUUAUUGAACAAUAGCAUAGUCAACAAGCAUUUAUGUGCUUACUCACUGUGGCCAAACGCUGUGCUAAGAAUGGAGGAUGCAAAGAAAAGCCAAAACCCAAAAUGAAAGCCAGUUCCUACUCUCAGGGAAUGUACAGUCUGGUGGGGGAAGGCAAUAUGAACAUGCAAGAUAAAUACAGAAUAAAUUAAAUCAAUCUGAGAGGAGAACAUAUUGGCAGUUGGGGACACCAGGAAAGGGGCUCCUGAGAUUGAAAAGUCGAUCAUAAAAAUGAUUUAAUCCUUAAGAAAAAGCCAGGACCUUUUCAUGAAAGGGGAAAAAAAAUGGUAAAAUAAAAUUAUUUAGGAUUUCAUAUGUGAUAAGCAAUGUUCAACUUUAGAAAGAAUUAGAAAUCAUUUCACAUAUUUUGCCUGUUCUCUUCACUUCUUUUUUUUUUAAUCAGUUCUGUUUGUUCUAUUUAAAGUCCAUGUGCCUGGGAUGGCUGAAAAUAGAAGAAUUCAAGAGUAUUGCAUAAAGGCAUUAGUGGGAUCAGAAGAUAACCAUUCUCUCAGUAGAUCCCUAUGAUAUUUCCUUUAGAGCCUUUUAAAAAACAAAUAGUCCAGGAAUCUCAAGACUUCCUUGGAAUAGUCCUUGGAAUAGUCCAAGGGUCCCAAGUUCAAGGACCCUUCACAGCUGCAUCUGGUUUCUUUGUUUUGUAGAUCAUAUUUAUUUGUGAAAGAACAUUUGCUCUUUCUGCACUCCCCUGAUACCCUGAUACUUGUAUAGACCUAAAGAUCUAUACAAAGAAGUCCCUAAGAAGUUGCAAGGCUUUUUCCUUAAAUAUAUUUUAAAAGUAUGCUAUCAUUAAUUCCUGUUUUAAAGGAGGAGAAGAAGAAGAAGAUGAUGAUGAUGAUGAUGAAGCUUUUUGAUUUUUGAGGAAAAAAAUCAGAACUCUCAAUAUGAGAACAAUACUAUUUUUCAAAAUCUGGUUAGGAUUGCUUUUGUACUUAUUUUAGAUUAUUAGAAAAUGUUACAGAAGAAAUUGUAUUUGAGCCUUUUCCUGUUUUUAGUCCUUACCUUAUUUAAGAAUAGCAACAUGGUGGGCUCAGACACUUAACACUUCCAAGCUGUGUGACCCUGAGCAAGUCACUUAACCCUCAUCGUCUCAGCCAAAAAAAAAAAAAAAAAAAAAAAUAGGGCAGCAUGGACUUUUCUAGAAUGAAGAAAGAAGAAAAUAAGAAUGUAUAUAGCACUUCUUAUAUGUCAGGUAUUUUACAAAUAUCUCAUUUGACCUUCACAACAACCCUGAGAUAGAUGCCAUUCAUUAUUUAAAACCAUUUUAUAGUUGAAGAAAUUGAGGCAAAUUGAAGUUAAGUGACUUGCCCAGGGUCACAACUGAUGAAUGUCUAGGGCUCAAUUUAAACCCAAGGUUUUCCUUACCCCACAGAAGUAACUCUAAGAGUAAAGAGCAAAUAGGAAGAAAGAGAACUUUAGUUAUUAAAAAACACGUGUAGACUUUUUAAAAUGUACUUCAAAAAAUAUUUUUAUUCCUUAAUUCUUAUUGAUUUAAUAUUUUCCCCAAUUACAUUUAAAACAAAUUUUUUUUUUGUUUUUUUUAACUUCUGAGUUCCAGAUUCUCUCUCUUAUCUUCAUUCCCAGUUCCCAUUAAGAAAGCACAUGCAAAGUUAUACAUUUCAAAAGUCAUGAAAGAAAACAUAGGUCUCCCAUCUAAUUUAAAAUUUAAAAAAAAAUCUCAAGUAAAAUAAAGUUUAAAAAAAGGGAGAGAAUAUGAUUCAAUCUGUAUUCAGAUACAAUCACUUUCUUCUCUGGGUAUGGAUAGCAUUUUUCACCAUUAGUCUUUCAAAAUAAUCAUGGAUCAAUAUACUUAUGCUAAAAUUUUACCUUGGAAUAUAUGAUUCUCACAUGCACCAAGAUGGAGGGUUCAUUUUUCCACAAAAAUCAUAGUCCCAAAACAUCAAGGGUGACUGGAUGGAAGGCUAGCCACACUCUGCUCUCAACACAGUGCUUGGCACAUAGUAGGUGCUUAAUGACGACUCAGGGAAGGUAGAGGUUUCUGGGGUCAUCUCAACCAGAAAUGUGGAAUCAGCCAAGUAGGCUUUCUUAGGAUUGAGGAUCCCCUAAGCCAAACAGAAUAUGGAAGUCCUAAUCCUCCAUCUGUCAGUACUAUGCAACAUGCAGGUGCUAGAGGAGCUAAGUCCUGAGAAGGAUGCACAGUGGUGAAUGAGAGGGAGAGCAAGCAAGGAAUGAACUAACAGUUCAGAGGAGCAGGCCAUGAGAUGAGAUUUCUAAUUCCACUGAUGUUCCUGGGAUGUCCCUUCUUGGGGACAGUGGCGGGGAGAGGGGGGUGGGAGGCGGGGAAGGAGUGAACGUGGGUAGGUAGAUAGGGGUGGUAUUUAACAUGGGAGAAAAAGGGAACCAGCAUUAUUCCUUUGCCAACUAGACUUAAAUGCAAAUAUUUGUAACUCUUUUUAUUAUACUUUGUGUUCAAAUCAUCAGAAUUUAUUUCUGAUAGGGAAUUAAUACCCCUACAGAAGAGCUAGAAAUGAGCUAGAUUCUGGUAUUCUAAGAAGGACUUCUGAAUAAAGACAUGUGUGAGCCAUAUUUUAAUAUGUAUUCUAAUAAGUAUUAUUUUAAUACGCAUUAAUCAUUAAAAAGCCUACAAGAUUGAGUUUGGAUCCAGAAUUGCUUUUCUGCAGUCAUAUGGGCCAAAGGCUACAAUUAUAAUGAGUUAUUUGUGCAAGAUAGUAUAGUAUUGAGCUAAAAUCAUUUGAUACCACUAAAACCAAAAGCAAACAGACACUUUUAAUUAAAGUUGCCACAUACAAAUGAAAAUGGAAAAUUUGGGAAGGAAAAUUGAAAAGUUUCCUUAUAGAAUUCCUGCCAAUUCAUCCUAGAAUGGAAUGGGGAAAAAAAAUCCUGCAGGUUUUAUCAGUUGUUGAAAGGUUCUUUUUUUCUCUGUUGCUAAGGAGAUCUCUUUUAACCUUCUGGCUCUUCUUAUCAACAUAAGAUGGCUUUUUGCUGAUGAAUUUGACUCAUUCCACAAGAAUAUCAACAGCUUUUCUUUUUGAACAUCAGCUGUUCCACAGUUUAUGAUUAUGAAAACAGAAAGCAGCCUGUUUCUACCCACUUCAACAAAUUGAUUAUACAAUUUUUUUUAUUCUUUACUUCAAAUUUGCUCCAAUCUGUAAAAAUGAAUUAUGUUCCCUAAUUUCUGGAGUUGGAGUUAGUUCCUAGCCUGCCAGAUUUUGCCAUCUAUUAUUUAUUCUCUUCUCUUGGGACUCAUCUUCCCUGCCCCCCCAUAAUGCUGCACUGCAAGCUCACAGCCCUAUUAAGGUUCACACCCUACACAGUGUUAUGUACAUUCCAUUCAUCCUGCUCACCCAUUAUGGGUUAUUGCCAUCUGCUGGAAAAACAGGGCGGACUACCAGAUGAUCAUUUUGAAAUUCCCGGAAGUAAAAUGAGGGUGUUUUUAAUCAAGAAAAAUAAGGUUGCAUUUGCUUCUAUGAUCUGCAAUCUGCAUUCUUCAAGUAAAAAAGUUUUUUGUUCCAGAACAUUUUUGUCGAAGCACAUAAGUUUAACUAUUGGGUUGAUGAGAAAGAAUUCAUUUUCAAUGAGAAUUAAACUUAAAAAAAAAAAAAAAAAGAAAAAGAAAAAAGAAUCACACCCAAAAAUGUGUGUCACAUCACCAAGUAACCAGUGUGGCUACACAACAGAAUAAUGAUCGAUGCUUUAGGGGACUCUUCUGGAAAAAAGGGAUCCACAAUCUUUUCUACCUUUUCUGUGAGAGCAUAUUUAUGAUAUUUAAUAGUUCCUGUUUUCUUGAAGCCUCCUCACAUUCCUCCCUUUCUUCCCCAGUGUUCUCUCCAAAUUUUCCUAGAAUACUUGUUUGGAUGUGUCCUUUACCUUUAUCUUGUAUUAUAGUUCGUCUAGAUUAAGUGUUGAAGAGGAUAAUGUUCCAGAUCUAACGCCAUGAAGACUCAUCUUCCUGAGUUCAAAUCCAGUCUCAAACACUUCCUAGCUGUGUGACCCUGGGCAAGUUAUUUCACCCUGUUUGCCCUAUCUAUAAAAUGACGUGGAGAAGGACAUGGCAAACCAUUACAGUAUCUUUGCCAAGAAAACCUCAAAUGGAAUCAUGAGGAGUUGGACGUGACUGACGAAUGACUGGAUAACAACAGGGAUUUCUCAGUCUGGAAACUUCCUUCUCUUGUUGUGUUGUACAAGAAUUUCAUGAGGGAUUUCAAAGUUAAGUUAAAUCAAAUAAAUAAGGUCAUUUUUAUGCACCUAUUGUAUACCAGACACUGUUCUAGGUGCUAGAGAUAAGAGACAAAAAUUUAACAGUCCUUUUUCCCUCAAUGAACUUCAAUUAUAUUGAGGAGAAAGAUUUAUACUUUCCCCCAAAAAUUAAAUAUAAGCUAUAGAGAAAAUAAUGGUGGGGGGUUUUGUUUGUUUAUUUUUGUAGAAGAUGUCCAGGAUCACAAACCAGUGGUAAUCCGAGUCUCUCCUUCUCAGUGAUCAACUUUCUUUUCUUUUUUAAAACAUAUUUCCCUAUUUGUCAUUGUUGUACAAGAAAAAUCAAACCAAAAGGGAAAAAACAUGAGAAAGAAAAAGCAACCAAACUAACAAAAGAAAGGGGAAAAACACUGCUUGGAUCCACAUUUAGUCUCCCUAAAUGGCCUUUUCCAUCCUAAGUCUGUUGGAAUUGCUUUGAACACAAUCAGCUUUCUAUUCACUGUGUCACAAAUAUCUAUUUAUAAUAUCAUAUAUAGAGAGUACCUUUAAUAUUUAUAACUUAGUACUUCACAGUGACCCUAUGAAUAGUUGGUACAAGAUUAUUGUUCUUUAUCAGAGGUUAUGUGACUUAUUUAUAGCUGAGGCAAGAUUUGGACUCAAAAGUUCCUGAUUCCAAUUCCAAAUUGAACAUUCUUUCCCCUACACUGCACUAACUGUAUUAGAUUCAUAUAAUACAUUCCUUCUAUUUGACCACAAGUUUUUUGAGGUCAGGGACCGAGUUAUUUUAUAUCAUUGUAGCCUAGCAUCUCUAUAGUCCAGUACCUGACACAAUUGACAAAUUGUGUUGUUAAAUUAUAUUUGAUAUUUUGAUCAUUAAUCGACAAACGUUGAAUUUAACUUCACAAUUUCAUGGAGUUUAUAGUGUCAAAAUUCCUCAAAAGCUCAAGUUCAAGAGGACAGUCUUCAAAUGAGUUUGACCUUUCUAGGGAGCCUAGAAGAAGGAGGAGGAAGAGAGCUUCUUUUGCCAGUAUAUAAUACAGAAAUAGCCCUAAGACACAAUGGAAAAUUAGACUGAUUGCAUUGCUCAAAUUACAGGCCCAUUUCCUUUAUUAGUAGGUGUCAGGCUAUGAUUAAAAUCAUUCAGUGGGAUCAAAAACAGUGUGAAUAGAAUAUGACAAAGCAUUACUUAAAUUAAAUACUUCAGUGACUGUCAUAUUUCUAGGUUAUUAUUAUAAUGUUUAUUUAGCACUUCAUAUUUCCAUAGAGCUUUAAUCAUUAUUGCUAUGUCUUGACACUAUGCAGACAAGGAGGGUCAAUGUUAUUAUUCCAAUAUAACAGAUAAGGGCAAUGAGACACCAUGGCAACACAAAGGUAUUAUUAUCCUGGUGCAGUUAUAGAACACUAUGUAUUUUCAGAACCUUCUACCAUAAUUCACCCUUAACUCCUCAUGCCAUCAUUGUAAGGUGGAUGUGUGCCAUUCUUUCCUCUUAACAAAUAGAGGGAGGUUCCAAGGCUUCCUACCCCUAGGGCCUGCAGAAAGUCAACAGCAGAACUUGAGAAUGAGCUGAAGGCUUCUGAUUGAUGGUUGCUCAGGCCCUAUGAGUCAGCCUACUUCCCUGGAGCUCAGUGGACUUUAAAAAAAAAAAGAAAGAAAGAAAGAAAAUUUAAUAGUUUGUUUUCAAGUUACCCCCUUCAUGACAGGGAGCCUCAAAAAAUAGUUUGUUUUUAUGGCUUUUUGCUUCUCACAAAGUUCUUUGGCUAAUCUUUGAAGAUUUUCAGAAAUGAGAUACAUUUUCUGCAAGCUGCCCUAUUCCCAGGGGGCAUACAUAGAACCUCACCUGGAAGAUUUAAGUCACAAUCCUCCUGAAUCUAACUUAAAGAAAACUUGAAUAAGAAACAGGGGAAAUGGGCAAUUACAUCAUUUCUCAGACUCAAGAAGGCCUAGUCAUUUUUAAGGACCAAUUAUCUCUGUUAAAUCAAAUAGGAAGUCUCAAAGAGGAAACAGUGAACCAGAAGGUAGAGAAACACCAGAAAGAUUGCCUUUUGCAUUUCAAGCCUUGCUUUGUUCACAACUUUGGAAUCUGGUCAACCGAGUUUACAAAGGGUUGAUUUUUCCUGGACAACAUGAGAAAUAUGGACAUAUGUUUAAAAGAAUUGCAAUAUUUAAUCUAUAUCAGACUGCUUGCUGUCUUGGGGGAAGGAGGAGUAAAAGAAGGAGAAAAAUUUAGAAGCCAAAGUCUUACAAAAAUGAAUGUUGAAAACUAUCUUUACAUGUAUUUGAAAAAUAAAAUACUAUUGAAAACUUUUACAAAAAAAAAACUAUUUAAAAAAAGAAAAGUUUUUCUCUUAAAAUUGGAGCAAAUAGUGAACAAUGUGAAGGAAUCUGGUUGUAGUAUUUUAUUUUGCAUGAUAAAAAAUAUUAUGUAUCUUCUGAUCUACAUCUAUAUACUUUUGGUAAAUGGCUAUUGCUGAACAGUUUGGAAUAAAUCUUCCCAUUCCUUAAUUGAAUUUUAAUUUAAAUUCCUUAAUUUAAUCCUAAUUGAUGCCAUAUUAGGCAUCUGCAUUAUAUCUCUUCUAAAAGUCUUUUCCAGUAUCCAGUGAAGAACAUUCCAAAAAAUAUAAAAAAAGAAUCCUGAAAACUUGUUUUUUCCAGACACUUUAUUUCCAAAUAGAGGUAAUUAUUUGUCAUUUUUGAUGCCAUCAUAAUAUUGUCUACAGAACUGCAAUUUCAUGAUAAAAGAGAUAUGUUUUUAUUUUUGUAUCACAAGGGUCUCAGUUUCUUUAGGAUAGGACUGUCUUCAGAAGAACCUGGACAUGUUUUGUGUGACAGACCAGAGCAGGAUGCUCCUACUGAAAAAGAAAGUAGGGAUCAAUAAACUUACCUGAGCUAUCUAAAAAAAAAGUUAGCAGUCAAUUAAUAAACUCUAGAAAGUUUUAUUUAGAAGUAAGGGCUAUUGGGACUUAAGAAAGAUCUCAUAUUCUCAAUACCUCUUAGCAUUUAGAAUACAAUUACUGUUUUAUUAUUAUAUUAACAUUACACCAGGGUCAGCCUUUUGAAUAAAUGGAGUAGGUAAGGACUAAUGUGAUAUGAUUUGAAGAGUAUCCAAGAGGUCCCAAAAGUAUUCUUGAAAUUCCGCUGAGAGUCAUUCCUUCGGGUGAUGUAUUAUAUCCUUUGUUGAAAUAGAAAUACUCUUGAGAGAGAAAAUAUUGAGUCACUGUCAGACAUUAGCACCAUAGUAUACAUUAGUUUAUGAGUGCAUUCCAGCUGAGCUCAGCCCUGAGGGAAUUAUAAGCUAACUAGAGGCAAAUUUUGAAAGUGGGGGGCUAAGAGAGUAGAGAUAUGUUCAGGUCAUACCUCCAUAAUUGCUGUGCCCCUGAAAUUGUGGGAGAAGGAUGCCAAAGACAGAUUUCAUAUACUUUCCUCUUCAGUUGUAUGUGUCCUUAUAUAAUGACUAAAAACUGAUUAAUAUCAAUAAUGAGAGAAUGAUUGUAUUUAAUUUUUCUAUUCUAUUUCAACACUUUAAAUAAGCGCUUUUGCUAUUUAAUGCCAUUUAAUUUAAUACAAAAUUUUUUGUAUGUAAUUUUAAUUUUUUAUUUAAUGCCAAAGAACCAGGCCCAGCACCUACUUUUCCAUGUGUUAGCUAAAGUCCUUAUUUUAAAAAGUAACCUUUUUUUAGAUAAUACUGCAUUAAUGUAAUGGCGUGCUGGAUUUCUUUAAAGGAGAACAAAUACCAAGACUAUACAGAAAUAUGGAAUGAUCUCUAUUAAAUAAUUAAAUAAAGCAGAAAUAAAAUAAAUUUAUUUUUAAAAAA